UUGUCGUGCCUCUGCUCCCUGAUUUCUCCAGCCCGUGGAGCUUUUGCUAUGCGCUCCCUCCCUGCUCCGGUCUUCUCCAUAGCCGAGCGCCCGACGUUCUCCCUGGUGCUCGCCCAAGUCACCGUUGCAGCUCCAGCUCGGAUUCCCCUUCCCAUGGCGGCGCCCACCUCCCUGUGCUCCCUGUUCCAGCUCGUCGGGGAUGCCCCUUCCUCCAGCCGUGUUCUGCUUCUCUCCCUGCGCCCCUAUUCAUCUCCUGUGCGCCUUGGUUUUGGUCCCAAGCUCCAUGGCCGCCUCGCUGCAGCUCUCUGGUGCUCGGUCGCCAAGUCUCCCUGCUCUAUGCGUUCUUCUUCCUCCCUGGCUCCUGCGCGUUAUGUGCCCAGCUCCCUUUUCCGCAUAUGCGCGCUUAUCUCGCUUUCCUGCGCGCCCAGCGUUCUGCUCCCGCUCGUCCCUGCGCGCCAAGCUCCGUGCGCGGUCCUUCCUUGA
rnacentral:misc_RNA from 1 species